rnacentral:lncRNA from 1 species
AAAUAGAUGCCCUAUUCCGAUUUGAUUUCUAUCCUACUUUUGAUUUUUUCAAUAGCUCCAUUCAUUGUCGCUGACUAUCAGUCAUGGGUUUGUACUUUGAUGGCCACAGCCACGGCUGGCCAUGGCCACCAUUGUUGGCUAAGCCUCCCGUAUUUUGGAAAGGACAAAGUCCUCUACUUCACCAAAAAAAAAGAGAAGAAAAGAGGAAAAAGAAAGAGAAGAAAAAAGGAAAAGAAAAGAAAGAAAGAAAAGAAAAAAA